UAAGUUUUAUUUGGCUUAAAAAUUUGUUAUUAAUUUAAUUUACAUGUAAGUUUUUGUGUGAUAAGUUAUUUAUUUUAAAAAUUAAUAAUUUAAUUAAUAAUCGCAGUAAUUAAUAUUAUUAAUUAAAGAAAUUUGGAAAUAAUAAUAAUAAUUAGUAUUGACAAAAUUUGUGCCAGCAGUCGCGGUUAUACAAAUAAUGCAAAUAAAUUUUUUUUAUAAAAGUAAAAUUAAAAAUAAAAAAUUAAAUUAAAUAUAUUGGGUGAAAUUUUAUAUUUUUAUAAUUUUUAUUAUUUAUUAAUUAAAUCUUUGAAAUUUUUAAUAAAAACUAGGAUUAGAUACCCUAUUAUUUAAAAUGUAAAAAUAAUUAUAUGAGUAGUAUUAGUUAUGUUCUUGAAACUUAAAAAAUUUGGCGGUAUUUUAAUCUAUUCAGAGGAACCUGUUCUAUAAUUGAUAGUCCACGAUAAACUUUACUUAAUUUUGUUUUCAAUUUAUAUACCGUCGUUAUUAGAAUAUUUUAUAAGAAAAAUAAUUUUCAUUAAUUUUUAUAAAAAUUUAUAUCAGAUCAAGGUGUAGUUUAUAGUUAAGAAGAAAUGGGUUACAAUAAAUUUAUUUAAAUGGAGAUAAAAAUGAAAAUUUUGUUGAAAGUGGAUUUGAAAGUAAAAAUUUUUAUAUUAAAAUUUUGAUUUUAGCUCUAAAAUAUGUACACAUCGCCCGUCGCUCUUAUUAUUAAGAUAAGAUAAGUCGUAACAUAGUAGAUGUACCGGAAGGUGUAUCUAGAAUGAC
rnacentral:ncRNA from 1 species